UGAGAAUAGCAGGAGGAGUAAACACGA
rnacentral:misc_RNA from 1 species